UACGUAGGGUGCAAGCGUUGUCCGGAAUUAUUGGGCGUAAAGAGCUCGUAGGCGGUUUGUCGCGUCUGCUGUGAAAACUCGGGGCUUAACCCCGGGCCUGCAGUGGGUACGGGCAGACUAGAGUGCGGUAGGGGAGACUGGAAUUUACGGUGUAGCAGUGAAAUGCGUAGAGAUCGUAAGGAAGACCAGUGGCGAAGGCGAGUCUCUGGAAAGCUGCUGACGCUGAGGCACGAAGGCCAGGGGAGCAAACGGG
rnacentral:rRNA from 1 species